rnacentral:rRNA from 1 species
UAGAGCGGCGGACGGGUGAGUAACGACGUGGACAAUCUGCCCCCCGGCCCGGGAUAGCCCAGGGAAACCUGGAUUAAUACCGGAUGAGACGGGACCCGCGAUGGCGGGAUCCGGGAAAGGCGCUGCGGCGCCGCCGGGGGGAUGAGUCUGCGUCCCAUUAGCUAGACGGCGGGGUAACGGCCCACCGUGGCGACGAUGGGUAGCCGGCCUGAGAGGGUGGACGGCCACAUUGGAACUGAGACACGGUCCAGACUCCUACGGGAGGCAGCAGCUAAGAAUCUUCCGCAAUGGGCGAAAGCCUGACGGAGCGAACCGCCGCGUGAACGAAGAAGGCCGUGAGGUUGUAAAGUUCUUUUCGGGAGGGGGAACAACCGUGGCAGGGAAUGGCCGCGGGAUGACGUGAAUCCCGGAAUAAGCCCCGGCUAACUACGUGCCAGCCGCCGC